rnacentral:rRNA from 1 species
CCCGCACAAGCGGAGGAACAUGUGGUUUAAUUCGAUGAUACGCGAGGAACCUUACCUGGGCUUAAAUGUAGAGUGCAUUGGAGGGAAACUUUCAUUUUCUUCGGAACUCUUUACAAGGUGCUGCAUGGUUGUCGUCAGCUCGUGCCGUGAGGUGUCGGGUUAAGUCCCGCAACGAGCGCAACCCCUACGUUUAGUUGCUAACGCGUGAAGGCGAGCACUCUAGACGAACUGCCGUUGACAAAACGGAGGAAGGUGGGGAUGACGUCAAAUCAUCAUGCCCCUUAUGUUCUGGGCUACACACGUGCUACAAUGGCCGGUACAGACGGACGCAAAGCCGCGAGGUGGAGCAAAUCCUAAAAAGCCGGUCUCAGUUCGGAUUGCAGGCUGCAAUUCGCCUGCAUGAAGUCGGAAUCGCUAGUAAUCGCAGGUCAGCAUACUGCGGUGAAUACGUUCCCGGGCCUU